AGGGCUGCAGUAUAUUGACUGUACAAAGGUAGCAUAAUCAUUAGUCAUUUAAUUGAUGACUUGUAUGAAGGAUUUGAUGAGAUAUAAACUGUCUCUUAUUUAAUUAUAAAAUUUAAUUUUUUUAUUAAAAAGUUAAAAUAUCUUAAAAAGACGAGAAGACCCUAUAGAGUUUAAUAAAUUAUUAGAUUGAGAUUAUAUGUAAAACAAAUUUAAAAUAAAAUUAUUUAUUUUGUUGGGGUGACAAAAAAAUACAUUAAACUUUUUUUUUAUUUUAAAACAUUUAUAAGUGAUUAAAUGAUCCAAUAAUAUUGAUUAUGAGAAAAAAUUACCUUAGGGAUAACAGCGUAAUUUUUUUUUUUAGUUCAAAUAAGAAAAAGAGUUUGCGACCUCGAUGUUGGAUUAAGAUAAAAUUUAAA
rnacentral:rRNA from 1 species